UUUGUUGCUCUCUCACAAUCUCUCUACCCAAACACAAAUUAACAGAGAGGACCAUUAUUCGAUUCACUUUCCUCUCCUUUUCUUGAUUUCUCCUUGUAGAUCUUUGUGUUCUUCAAACCCAGAAGAGAUCGAUUUUCAUUCUCAAUUCGCUUUCUGUUUUCUUUUCUUUUUUUUUUCUAUGUGAUUUGAGAGGCAAGAUGAAGGUUUUGUGAUCGAGAGCAAAAGGGAUUGAUCAAAGAAUAGUUGUUGGUAACGGUACUGAUUCGAGUGGUGGAUUCAAAUUCCGCAGAAAAGAUGGGUUGGAUUUGAGAGAGAGAUGGACAAAAUUGCACUGAGAAGAACACAGAGGAGAUUGUUCUGGCUUGAAUAGUUGUGCAGGAGUAGAAUUAGGGCAAGAAUUGAAAUGGGUUCUCUUUGAAUUCGAUCGUGAGGAGAUUCUGUGACCAUCGAUUUGAUGCUGUGAGCUGUAAGCUGAAGAAAUGAUGUUGAGAUGUUGGUUCUGGUUCUGGUUUUGUUACUGUGAUAUAAUGGGUUGCUUGCUGGUGAUGCUAGAACUGGCAGGGUGAAAAGAUGGGUUUUGGUGGAUGAAUUAGGUGAAAAUGGUUCGUGUAACUGAAUCGGUGUUGGUGGUUGAAGCAAGUGAAUUAAAUGGAUGGGUUUGAGAUGGAGUUUGUGUGCUAAUAUGAAUGGAUUUGAAGCUACAGAAGACAUAAGUCGAAGCUGAGGCUGUAGAAUAGUGAAGAUGCAGGUGCAAUGAUUGUGUGUUGUUGUCCAUGGGCUCUGGUGCAAUGGAGUUGGCAGUUGCAUUUACAAGAUGGUGGUGAACUAGAAGGGUACUGAUGCUGAUGGUCAAUGAAGAGAUUGUCUGAGAUGGAUUUGAUGUGGAAUGUGUCUUUGCAGUAUUGAAGUUGAAGUGCAGGGCAGUGGUUCGAGUUGAUUUGGUGGUACCAUGAAUGAAGCUACAGGUGAUGGUGAUGUUGGUUUGGAUUGAAGCUCUGGCAGUGAGAUGGAUGCUGGUCUGCAAUGGGUUUGUUGGUGCAGUGAGAGUCAGGAUUUUAGAUGAAUGCUAGGUUGCAAUUGCAUUUGAUCCCUUUAAUGGUAACUGCAGGUCCUGGCGGUGAGAAGCCACCACACAACCUAAAAAUUGAUUGGGACAUUACCUACGAUUUUGGGGAUGUUGAAGUGCUAAACUUGGAAAAUGAGAAUUGGGAGAUCAUGAACAGUCUCUCCUCGCGAAGGCGGAGGGUAACAAUGUGUACGCAAUGCUCCGUGCUUGCUGUUGUGCAUAAAAAGAAAGGGUGUUACCAUCAUUCGAGUUUUCUUGCUGGGGGGGAGUAAUAGAACAUCAGCAACUCCAACUGCAAACCGAGGUUUAACACGCUGGGAUGCACAGACAAUGCAAUUUUCUCAAGGAAAAGUUGGUGUUCCAAAGCAGUUGGUCAUCACAGAAGAUCCAUUUCCGAUUCCUGAUGCUAUUACUGAAGCAGGAUUGAUAUCACCCUUAGGUAAGUUUGUCUGCGUCUGCUGUGUCUCUCAUUUUUCUUAUGGUUUGGAAAAAAUGGUUCGAUUGCUGAAGCAUUGGUAGGAGUAAGAGAUGUUGCUAUACCUAUAACAGUUAUGAAAAAGGAACACAUAAAAGAUAAAGAACAUAAUUUUAUAUGUUAUGAUAAAUUUACGACCACCAGUGUAUAUCUCAUUCUGAACCUACGUCAUGUUUCAGAUGUGGGAAGCAACCAUACAAACUCAUGUUCAUUUAUCUUUCUCAGAUUUCCCUUAAUUUAGUAAUGUUAUGUUUCAGUGUCAAAACUUCUAAUUGUUGAUGGUAGUAUAUUCCAGUUUAACCUACUUGGUUCCUCUAAUUUUGUUAUGCCCUUAAUUCAUUGUUUUGUAUCUUUUAGUUUAACCAAGCUGGUUCCUUGGGUGAAUUAGGUCUUAUGUUAUAAGCUUCGUAAUAUCGGAAUAAUUCCUAGGGCGUAAUUUUGGGCGGUCAACGUUGUAAGGUAAAGUAGUACAAGCAAAAAUCUCAAUUGAAUAAUUUUGAGUGUAUGGAUGCUUAAAAUGAAUGGAUUGCUUCUGAAAUAAGCUGCAGAGAUGAUGUUUCUGCUAAGAAAGUGAUAUGUGUAAGUAUAUCAACUGCUUAAUCUAGUUAGAGUGAGAUUAUGUUGGAUUAGGAUAUUCUCAAUCACUCACUGAACCUACAACUUCUAUCUCUUUGCAGGAUGACACUCGCAUUUUGACAUCUGCAGGAGAUCAAAAGAUAAAGAUUUGGAACGUGGAAGAAAGGGUCUGCAUUGGUGUUUUAACUGGUCAUACAGGAAGAGUAACGUCAAUAUGUGCAUACCCAUCCAAGAUUAUAACUUAAUGUUGUUGCCUUCCUUCAUCUUGCAGGUGUUGUUCAUCGUAACCUCAAACCAGAGGAAGUAAUUAGGUGUUGAAGUGUUUUCACGGAUCAGAGUCUGGUGCAGUUGCUUAAUAUCGUCGAGAUGGGAACCAGGGAUGAGAAGCUGGAC